GAAACGACUGCUAAGACUGGAUAGGAAAUAAAAAGGCAUCUUUUUAUUUUUAAAAGACCUUUUUCGGAAGGUAUGCUUAAAGAGGGGCUUGCGUCACAUUAGUUAGUUGGCAGGGUAAAAGCCUACCAAGACUAUGAUGUGUAGCUGGACUGAGAGGUUGAACAGCCACAUUGGGACUGAGACACGGCCCAAACUCCUACGGGAGGCAGCAGUAGGGAAUUUUCGGCAAUGGAGGAAACUCUGACCGAGCAACGCCGCGUGAACGAUGAAGUAUUUCGGUAUGUAAAGUUCUUUUAUUGAAGAAGAAAAAAUAGUGGAAAAGCUAUCUUGACGAUAUUCAAUGAAUAAGCCCCGGCAAACUAUGUGCCAGCAGCCGCGGUAAUACAUAGGGGGCGAGCGUUAUCCGGAAUUAUUGGGCGUAAAGGGUGCGUAGGCGGUUUAAUAAGUCUAUAGUUUAAUUUCAGUGCUUAACACUGUCCUGCUAUAGAAACUAUUAGACUAGAGUGAGAUAGAGGCAAGUGGAAUUCCAUGUGUAGCGGUAAAAUGCGUAAAUAUAUGGAGGAACACCAGAGGCGUAGGCGGCUUGCUGGGUCUUUACUGACGCUGAGGCACGAAAGCGUGGGGAGCAAACAGGAUUAGAUACCCUGGUAGUCCACGCCGUAAACGAUGAGUACUAAGUGUCGGGAUUACUCGGUACUGAAGUUAACACAUUAAGUACUCCGCCUGAGUAGUACGUACGCAAGUAUGAAACUUAAAGGAAUUGACGGGACUCCGCACAAGCGGUGGAUCAUGUUGUUUAAUUCGAAGAUACACGAAAAACCUUACCAGGUCUUGACAUACUCUGCAAAGCUAUAGCAAUAUAGUGGAGGUUAUCAGGGAUACAGGUGGUGCAUGGUUGUCGUCAGCUCGUGUCGUGAGAUGUUAGGUUAAGUCCUAAAACGAGCGCAACCCUUGUCAUUAGUUGCCAGCAUGUCAUGAUGGGCACUUUAAUGAGACUGCCAAUGAAAAAUUGGAGGAAGGUGAGGAUCACGUCAAAUCAUCAUGCCCCUUAUGAUCUGGGCUACAAACGUGAUACAAUGGCUGUUACAAAGAGUAGCUGAAACGUAAGUUUAUAGCCAAUCUCAUAAAAGCAGUCUCAGUUCGGAUUGAAGUCUGCAACUCGACUUCAUGAAGUUGGAAUCGCUAGUAAUCGCGAAUCAGCAUGUCGCGGUGAAUACGUUCACGGGGUUUGUACACACCGCCCGUCA
rnacentral:rRNA from 1 species